CACAAGGCCUGCUUGUCUAACUCAGGCCACUGUCUUUUUGGUGAUUCUGCUGCUGCUGCCAGGCCUCAGGCCUCAGGCGCCAACGGUGAGAUAAAGCAUCUUGUUCCAGGGCCAAUCCCAUGGCUUAUCCUGGGAGGAUGGCAGUAUUUUUCUUCUCCUGACAAACACCUUUGGCAUUCAGCCUCCCAGAUUUAUUUGUCUGGGCUUUUCUUCUUUUGGAGACCUAAACUGGAUGGCUACGUGUAGAAAAAGGGUUUCUGUAUUUUUUUUUUUUUUUUCCAGAUACUUUUUAAAUUUCACUGCUCCUACCUCACUCUUUUGGACUCAAACAAACGUGAGGGUAACUCAGAAUGACCUUUGGCUGCCUGAAGGGUCAGGCCUGAGGUGGCCACAGCCCUGGCCAGAGUCAUCAUCCAUGCAGCCAUACACACAGAAGAAGGAGCAAGUAGCCGAGGCUCAGGGAUGGAAUACGGUCAGUGAAAUGUCCUGGAGGGACUCGAGACCUAAAGAGGAGCUGAACAUCAUUCUCUAAGACCAAAUACUUGGGAAAGAAGAUUCUUCUGCUGGAAGAUCAUGCACUGAUCGGCCUACACAGGCAACUUGUUUCUGUUGGAAAUUUUAUUACACGCUGUAAGAUAACUGGAAUUCUGCUUUAAAAAAACAAAAAGAAUUCCUUUAAUGGGCAAAAUUGGCACAAACGCAGGUGGACAUUACAUAAAGUGAAAGCUUCAGGAAACAGGCCAUUCCUUUCACCUUGAUCUGCUGAAUCACAUACAAGGGCGAAAGACUCCCCCCGCCCCCACCCCCCUCCCCCCAACACCGAUAUUCAACACUCUCUUGCACAGAAAACUGAAACAACCCUCUAAACAUCGACUCUUUUUGUCCCCUCCAAGACAUUAAAGUCAGCAAGUGCAAGGUCAGCCUUGUGAGCAGCCUUUCUCGGAGCACAGGCUGGAGCCCAAGAGGCCGAGUGCAGCCUCUACCGUAGGGUCUGCAAAGGAACCAUUAACUAAGACAUUGCCAGCAACUGGACGACCCCCCCCCCGCCCAGGACUGCCAGCCACCGGCAGCGCGCAGGAAGGGAAGGCACAAGGCCGCGCGAAGGCUCGUACGCUGACCGGCCAAGAUGGCCACUUUCACGUGGCUGUGGGCUACCGGGGCUCCCCGUCACCCGGGCAUCCCCAGGCUGGGCAGCCGGAAAGACCCUCGGGGAGCGCCAGAGGACAAAACCCCA